rnacentral:rRNA from 1 species
AACGAACGCUGGCGGCAUGCCUAACACAUGCAAGUCGAACGAGACCUUCGGGUCUAGUGGCGCACGGGUGCGUAACGCGUGGGAACCUGCCCUUAGGUUCGGAAUAACUCCCCGAAAGGGGUGCUAAUACCGGAUAAUGUCUUCGGACCAAAGAUUUAUCGCCUUUGGAUGGGCCCGCGUUGGAUUAGCUAGUUGGUAGGGUAAAAGCCUACCAAGGCGACGAUCCAUAGCUGGUCUGAGAGGAUGAUAAGCCACACUGGGACUGAGACACGGCCCAGACUCCUACGGGAGGCAGCAGUGGGGAAUAUUGGACAAUGGGCGAAAGCCUGAUCCAGCAAUGCCGGGUGAGUGAUGAAGGCCUUAGGGUUGUAAAGCUCUUUUACCCGGGAUGAUAAUGACAGUACCGGGAGAAUAAGCUCCGGCUAACUCCGUG